AAUUCAACCUGGCUUCUAAAACGAACAUGGUGAACAUAGAUCAACUACUGAAGUUCUUUUAACCUCUGGCAUCCUAUCUGUGAAUUGUGGGGAGGAAACAGGGUCCACCCACUGCUGCACAAGAGGGGUGUGUGCAGACCAUCACCUUGUGUCUGCUGUAGCAGGAGACCCCUGGCCAUGCGGGACUGAACCCAUGAUUGCAGCUGAUCUUACUCUGUCUCUUCUCUGUGUGAGUAAAGUGUUGUUCCAUCUA